CGAGGGGCGAGCGGGAUGUAGCAUACAUGCCGGCGACCGGCGGAUGGGUGCGUAACGCGUAUGCAACCUACCUUAUACAGGGGAAUAACCUUUCGAAAGGGAGACUAACACCCCAUAGUAUUGAUUUAAGGCAUCUUAGAUUAUUAAAUAUUUAUAGGUAUAAGAUGGGCAUGCGUAUGAUUAGCUAGUUGGUAAGGUAACGGCUUACCAAGGCGACGAUCAUUAGGGGUUCUGAGAGGAAGGUCCCCCACACUGGUACUGAGACACGGACCAGACUCCUACGGGAGGCAGCAGUGAGGAAUAUUGGUCAAUGGGCGCAAGCCUGAACCAGCCAUGCCGCGUGCAGGAAGACGGGCCCUUAUGGGCUGUAAACUGCUUUUACAUAAGACUAACCGUAUAUUUGCGAAUAUACCUGAAUGUAUUAUGAGAAUAAGGAUCGGCUAACUCCGUGCCAGCAGCUGC
rnacentral:rRNA from 1 species